CUCGGACGCUGCCUCAGGUGACUUUGGCAGUGGGGAUGGGGGACAGAAGAGAGACAGGCCAAACUGUAAAGACCACCCCUCCAACUCUCCGACCGGUGCCAGAGCCCCCUCUGACGUCAUCAGUGAGCGACAGGCUCUCAGAGACAGGUGACAGGAAUCAUCAGACCUCAGUAGAGUCCAGACCAGGGUCAGGAGGUCAACCAGGCUCUACUGGCUCUAACCGGGGAGAAGGGGAC